UACGUAGGGGGCGAGCGUUGUCCGGAUUUACUGGGCGUAAAGAGCGCGUAGGCGGAAGCUUAAGCGGUGCCUGAAAGCCCCCGGCUCAACCGGGGAAGGUGGUGCCGAACUGGGCUUCUUGAGGGCGAUAGAGGAGAGUGGAAUUCCGGGUGUAGCGGUGAAAUGCGUAGAGAUCCGGAGGAACACCAGUGGCGCAGGCGGCUCUCUGGGUCGGCCCUGACGCUGAGGCGCGAAAGCGUGGGGAGCGAACGGG
rnacentral:rRNA from 1 species